CCGAUUCUUCUUUCUUCCUCUCUUGCUUGAACCACCGCAGAUCCGAUCUCCUCCUCUUCUUCGAUCGCCAAAGUUGGAUCUGCCGCCGAGCUCUCUGAGUUGCUCUCCCUUGCAUGGGCUGUCUUCAGCCAAGAGCAGGGAGGUGCCGUCCUCUCUCAUGCGGCACAACCUUGCGCAAUCCUAGCAUCGUCGACGUCGCCGACCAUCAAAAGCCCAUCGCUGGCGUAGAUGCACACUGAGCCGUGCCAUUCAUGGCCGAUCUCUUUCACCGGUCAUAGUUGGAGCAGAUCCGAAGCUGCCUCAGUGUGUGAGAUUAGAUCGAUCAUACCUCCUCGAACACCAUCGCUGGCCGACCACCGAGCAACCCGUCUCUGAUUUUCUCUAUCGAGGAUGAAGGUUGGCCAUCAGGAUGCCCUAACCCGAGCACAUUUCCUUCCUCUGCACAAGAGCCGCCAGCCAAGGAGGAAAAAUGGUGCUGUCUUCGGGGUUCAACCACCUUUGCUUCUCCUCUCGCCUUCAGGGUGCGAUCGGUCACUUGCUUGGAGACAUCUAACCAUCGAGAACAGCUACUACCGGCUCAUAGAGGGAUCUAAAUUCCACAUCGGAUUUCUAUAUUGUGUCUUCAUCAUAUCAAGGGGUUGUCUUCGUCACAUGCUGUGGAUUGUAGCUUCGGCAAUGGAUUUCUGUCAGCCUUGCUCAGGUCACAGGAACUCCACCAGCAGCUAGUCUUGAUGGGUGUCUCAGUUGACCAUAAUGAGUUGCCACCGUAGAGGAAGUCCAAUGCUUGAUUUAGGUAGCAGGUAGAUGAAUCAAGGAUGCUUGGGAGAAUCCUGGUUGCCAGUCCCACUAUACAUUCGAUGACAGUUUUCUUUUCGGUCUUAUUUCUGUCUAAGUGGUAUAGUGCUUUCGCGAGUUUGUGUUGUAACUAGUUGAUGUGGAUUUUGGAGUCUAGUCUGGUGAUUGCAGGUCUUCAAGUGAAAAAUUAUUUGAGCUUGAUCCAAAGAUUUAGAGGACUUUUAGAUAUUUGAGGAUUCAACGAGGUCACCAGCAAUUUUUGAAAGUAGUUCUUCAGACUUGGAUACUCCAAUGGCAGAGAACAAACUAACUAUAAAGGAGCUUGUAGCUCCACAUGUGGCCUACAAGUAUUCUUGCAUUACUUGCCUAGACUUGGCAGUAGAUUUUGAGCUUAGAUCUUGUUAAUUCAUUUGCUUCCUAAGUUUCAAGGUUUAUCAGGAGAAGAUUCAAAUAGGCAUUUGCAUAAGUUCCAUGUAGUUUGCUCCACCAUGAAACCAGAGGAAAUUUCAGAGGAAGAUAUCUAGUUGAGAGCCUUUCUAUUUUCCUUGACAGGAGCAGCUAAAGAAUGAUUAUAUUAUCUUCCAGGUAUAACUGCUAAGAAGAAGGACAUAUAAGGACCAUUUCCCAAAAUUUAAAGACAAGGAAAAGAAUAAAGGAUAGACCCGGAUGAAACAUAAAAAUCUAAAGGCAACGUGGGAUCAAAAGUCAUCAUCAGAAUCAGAAAUCGAAGCCUACACUGGAUUUGGACUGAUGGCAAGUCACCAAGAAGAUAAUGAAGUGAUCUCAUCUGUAAUGACCAUCAAGAGCGUCGAUGAAGGGUGAACCACUUUAGAAAGAAGCAGCAAUAUAGGGGGAGCAUCAGAUUACGAGAUCGACAAAGUAAGUCAGAUAUAGGAAAGGAAAAGAUAUAGAAAGGAAGGCGACAAGGAGGUGGUCGAAGGAUGUGUG